rnacentral:rRNA from 1 species
CGGUAAUUCCAGCUCCAUAGCGUAUAUUAAAGUUGUUGCAGUUAAAAAGCUCGUAGUUGAAUUUCGGGAUCAAUAUUUCGGUCAUGCCGUUGGUAUGCACUGUUAUCAUUGAUUUCUCACCUUCUAAAGAACCGUAAUGCCAUUAAUUUGGUGUUACGGGGAAUUAGGACUGUUACCUUGAAAAAAUUAGAGUGUUUAAAGCAGGC